rnacentral:rRNA from 1 species
UGGGGAAUUUUGGACAAUGGGCGAAAGCUGNUCAGCAAUGCCGCGUGUGUGAAGAAGGCCUUCGGGUUGUAAAGCACUUUUGUCCGGAAAGAAAUCCUUGGCUCUAAUACAGUCGGGGGAUGACGGUACCGGAAGAAUAAGCACCGGCUAACUACGUGCCAGCAGCCGCGGUAAUACGUAGGGUGCAAGCGUUAAUCGGAAUUACUGGGCGUAAAGCGUGCGCAGGCGGUUUGCUAAGACCGAUGUGAAAUCCCCGGGCUCAACCUGGGAACUGCAUUGGUGACUGGCAGGCUAGAGUAUGGCAGAGGGGGGUAGAAUUCCACGUGUAGCAGUGAAAUGCGUAGAGAUGUGGAGGAAUACCGAUGGCGAAGGCAGCCCCCUGGGCCAAUACUGACGCUCAUGCACGAAAGCGUGGGGAGCAAACAGGAUUAGAUACCCUGGUAGUCCACGCCCUAAACGAUGUCAACUAGUUGUUGGGGAUUCAUUUCCUUAGUAACGUAGCUAACGCGUGAAGUUGACCGCCUGGGGAGUACGGUCGCAAGAUUAAAACUUAAAUGAAUUGACGGGGUCAUAGCUGUUUCCU